rnacentral:rRNA from 1 species
GACGAACGCUGGCGGCGUGCCUAAUACAUGCAAGUUGAGCGCUGAAGGUUGGUACUUGUACCAACUGGAUGAGCAGCGAACGGGUGAGUAACGCGUGGGGAAUCUGCCUUUGAGCGGGGGACAACAUUUGGAAACGAAUGCUAAUACCGCAUAAAAACUUUAAACACAAGUUUUAAGUUUGAAAGAUGCAAUUGCAUCACUCAAAGAUGAUCCCGCGUUGUAUUAGCUAGUUGGUGAGGUAAAGGCUCACCAAAGCGAUGAUACAUAGCCGACCUGAGAGGGUGAUCGGCCACAUUGGGACUGGGACACGGCCCAAACUCCUACGGGAGGCAGCAGUAGGGAAUCUUCGGCAAUGGACGAAAGUCUGACCGAGCAACGCCGCGUGAGUGAAGAAGGUUUUCGGAUCGUAAAACUCUGUUGGUAGAGAAGAACGUUGGUGAGAGUGGAAAGCUCAUCAAGUGACGGUAACUACCCAGAAAGGGACGGCUAACUACGUG